rnacentral:lncRNA from 1 species
GGAACUAAGCAGAAGGCUUCAGAUCACUCCAGACUCCAAUGGGGAACAGUUCAGCUCUUUGAUUCAAAGAGAACCCUCCUCAAGGUUGAGGUCAUGCAGUGUCACCGACGCAGUUGCAGAACAGGGCCAUCUACCACCGCCCAGUGCCCCAGCUGGGAGAGCGCGUUCAUCAACUGUCACGGGUGGUGAGGAACCAACGGUAAUGAUCCACUUUAUCAGACAUCAAUAGCAAGAGGCCGUGAGGCAGUUUUAAUAUUUCGUGUAGUGGUGAAUAUACGCUGUUUUUAAAAAUAAGAUUAGCUCCUUUGUGCUACAGAGCUGCACACGUUUCUUAUUUUAAGCUUCUCAUUUGGGGAUUGUUUAAAGGUACUGGGUAAAAUAGAAUGAUUUUUUUAGUCCCACAUAAUUUUAUUAGGAAUACUAUCAGGCUUUGGUUAAGUGCAUUUAACUUGACCAUUUAGAAGAUAUUUUUGACUUUUAGUGUUUGUACUCCUGAUAAGUUUUUCCAUUUCAUUAGAAUGCUUGGUUAAAGUAAUUUGGUUGGAAGAUCAUCAAAGAAGCCACAGGAAUUGCAUGAGACUGUGUGUGUGAUUCCUGGAUGUGCCCAGGGCCCUUCUCUUUUCUGUAUCUCCCCUACCACAUUUUUCACAGGGGGUUAGACUUUUCUUGUCCCCAGAAUGCACCAUGACCCUUUCUCUGCCACCAGGGGCUCUCCUCACACAAUGAACAAGUUUCCGUAAUUCCAAGGGAACAU